AGAGACGUCCAUUCCUUAGGAAAAUAAUGACAGGGAAAAUAGAGCACAGCUGAAAAGGAUGUCGAAGCACAAGAGCGGAGGAGAAGGAUGCAGGAUGCAGUUAGGACAGAAUGCCUUGGCGGUCUGGCACAUCUCAUUGGAGGAGUCAGACAUAAGGGGAAAGGAAGGAAGGAAGGAAGGAAUGUCCUGGCGGUAACGUCAGGAAGUUGAAAUUUCCUUUCCAAUAUUGCUCGCCAAUGGGAAGAAAGCAACACACUCAUCAUAUUUUGAAAUAGGAAAAAUAACCGCUGUUCCGUACAGUUCUGUGUGAGGUAAUCAGACUUGAUUGGGGUUGAUCCUUAGGGAGAAGUACUUAGGGCCAUUUUAGUGUUUAGCUAGUUGCAUCAUUUUUUGAGAAUAAUUGCAUGCUAUAAGGAAGAAGAAAAUAUGUCUACGGAAAAGAUGGAGAAUACAUUAGAUUCGAUCCGACCAUCAGAAAAUCUGACAGAGCAAGAAGAGAUGUCAUAUUUAUUUGGCAGAGAUCCUAGUAUUUUAGCAUAUGGUCAAAGGAGAUCAUUAAUUACUGAUGGAUUAAAGGAAAAUCUCAUAUCACCCUGUGACGAUGAGGAAACAGAUUCAAGGCAUACCACUUCAUUCUUAUCACCAUUAUCUGAAACUGUAAAAGUCUAUUUGCGUCUCAAACCAUACCCAAAAAGGAUCAAAUUGACGGAGGAGCAAAAAGAAGCAUACACAAUUCUUAAUGCAAAAACGCUUUUAACAAAGCUACCUCUCAUGGAUACAAAUACUAGCUGUCUGAAAAGGGCAAAAAACAAUGAUACGGUGUGCCGAAAAUUCACAUUCACGCAAACAUUUUCAUCUACAAUAUCACAAUUCGAACUUUUCGAACACGCGAUUAAACAGCGAAUGGUUGAUUUUUUGGAUGGUCAAAAUUCAACAGUCAUGUCUUAUGGAACAACUAAUUCUGGGAAGUCAUAUACAUUGCAGGGUACUACAGUGUCACCUGGCAUAAUUCCACGUAGUUUGGAUUUUGUAUUUUCUAACAUUGAUCCAACAUCUGUACCAUGCUAUAAGCCUAUACAUUAUUGUGAUGUGAUAUGUUUAAAUUCAAGCGAGCGCCUUCAAGAAAUUGAAUUUAAAACCAAACUUUUAUGUCUAUCACCGAUUGACAGAAAUCAGUGUGUGAAUACAUACAAGGAAAUGCAGAAAUUACUUGAGCAGGAAUAUCCAAAACGACAAAAUGUCUCUGUCAAUGCUCAAUACUCAGUAUGGGUGUCUUUUGCCGAAAUUUAUAACGAAACAAUCUAUGAUCUUUUAUCAGUUGAAUCUCAAAAAAGAAGAAUACCACUAAAGCUCGCCACUGAUAAUCAUGGUAGAGCAUUCAUUAAAGGUUUAAAAACAAUUAGCGUUAAUUCUGGCUCUGAAGCAUAUCAAAUUUUAAUGGCUGGUCAGCACAACCUAAAAGUUGCCACUACAGCAUUGAAUUCAAGAAGUUCACGAUCUCAUUGUAUAUUUACAAUCAAGCUUUUAAAGUACCAUGCAGAAAACGCUUCUGAAAAGGUUGAACUAAGCACGUUUUCAUUUUGCGACUUGGCAGGAUCUGAAAGGUUAAAGAAGACUCUGAAUGUAGGCGAUCGUUUAAAAGAAGCCCAGAACAUUAACACAAGUCUGCUAGUCCUUGGUAGAUGUCUUAAGUCGAUCUAUGAAGGACAAAUCGUAAAGCAAAAGCAGGAAAUUAUGGGGCCCUUUCGUGAAUCCAAGUUGACGAGACUCUUUCAGAAAACUUUAUCUGGCAAAGAACGUCUAGUUCUGAUAGUAAAUGUCAACCCUUCACCAGAUUCAUACAUUGAAACACAAAAUGUCCUGAACUUUUCUGCUAUCGCUAAAAAGAUAAUUAUUGAACCAAAGGAGAUAAAGCGGAAAACAGGAACGUCAAGAUUUUCACAAAUUGUAACGCAAAGCAUCAAGAUUCCUACAGAUUGGGAUACGACAGAUUUAGAUAGUAUAAGUGAAAAGAAGGAGCCAAUUGCAGCAUUACAAAAAUCCUAUGAAGACAUUUACCUUGAGCGCUACGAAGAUGCCUUAAAUGAGAAUAAAAAAUUAAAAAGAGAAAUCGAAUUUUUACGUUCAUCAGCUUUAAACAGGGACUUGGAAAUUCGACAGGAAAUGGCUGAAACUUUUACUGCUACAAUGUCUCAAAUGGAAGUGGAAUGGAGGAACCGUAUUAAAAGCGUAGAGGAGCAACAGGACUGCUUACUUCAAUGGUCUGUAGCAAGAACCGAAAAUUUUUACAAAAAUAAACUCGUCCAGUUGGGGAAAGGAAAAAGGAUGCGUUCUGACAUAAACGAUGAGAGCGAUAACGAGGAUAAUGAGGAUUUAGAGUUAGAAAAUACCCGCUUGAAAGCAAAAAUCGCAGCUUUGAAAAAAGCAGUAAAGGAAAUACGAGAAUCGAAGGAUAUACUAUCCGCUGAUAAGAGUAAAGCUACAUUCGAAUUGGCUAUAGUGAAAGAAGAGCUGAAGAAUCGCGAAAACCUUUUAGAAGCAGCACAAAAGGAUUCUAACGGUGAGGCGCAUAAUUAUAUAGCAGAACUGAAGGUUCUGUUAGCAAAAAAGGAUGAGCAGAUUAAGCGUCUGAAGAUGUUCCUUGACGAAGCUAAGGACGAAUAUAUCACCAUAACAACCGAUGCAAGGGAGAUGCAAAAUCGCUUGAAAGAGCAGAACGAAACUGUUGUUGAAAAUAUGGACCUAAUUGCUGAACUGGAAGAGCAACUGGAACACGCAAAUAUUCAUCUUCCCGAGAAAACCAAAGCUGUGGAAAUUCUUGAGGAUCGAGUUGAGUUCCAAACAAAAAAGUUAAUCGACGCAGAAAUUAUUAUUGUAGAAAUGCAGAGUAAGAUUAGUCAGUUAGAAACUGAUAAAAUAGCUCUGUUGGAAGAUUUGGCCAAACUACAGGAGAUCGUAAUUGAUCACGAUAAGAAAUCCACUCCUAGGUCUUUCCAAGACAAGAGUGUCGAGCAUUUGAAUAUCAAAUAUCUGACUCUCGAUGAAGUUAAAAGCGAGUCGCAAGAAGAAAAGGUUGAAAAUCGGUUGAAGACCGAAGAGCUUCUUCAAGAAAAAAUAAUGGAUCUAGCGAUGGCCCAUGAUAAACUGAGUAACGCAUUAUCAAAGGAGAUGCAUUAUGAGAACGUAAUAGAGAAAUUGCAAAAAGAAGUAAGUGCGGCAAAUGAAAGAUAUGAAAUUAAAGCCCAGUGCCUGGAGGCGUAUCUAGAACGAAUAACGAAAUUGGAAGAAAACAUAACAAAGUCGAAAAAAUCACAAGAGACGACAACCAAAGAGCAAGAAAUGGAGAAUGAAAUUGCGAAUCUGCAAAAAGAACUUAAAAAUAUGAUUCGGCUAAAUGCCGAUUCCAAGACAGACCAAGAAAUGGAAGCAUCAAUGAAGCAUGUGUUAAAGCAAUUAACUGAAACGAAAGAAGCUCUGGCAAAAAUGGAAUCAUUAUACAAAGAUACUGAAACAGAAAAGCAACUGUGUCAUCGUGAAAUCGAAACCAUGACACUUCGCCUACAACAAUACGAACAAAAUGUCAAGAUUUUAGAUUUAUUGCAACAAAGUUCUCAAGAGCGUCAGAUUGAAAAUGAACAGUUAAAAAAGAUGAAUGACGAAUUAAAGAAUAGUCUUGCUGAUAAAGAUCGUGAGAUGGAAGCUUUUAGAAAGAAUAGAGAAGAAACUGCUGUCAAAUAUGAUAAUCUGGUGAAAUCGCAGCAAGAAGAAAUCGAAAGACAGAAAAGAGAGGUAAUGAGAUAUCAAGAAUUGUUCCGACGAGAAACCCCGAACAAGAUAGAAAUAAAAACACUAAAGGAUAAUCUUAAAGCAAUGAAAAUGCGUUAUGAAGAAGCUCAAGAGAGAUUAAGUAAAUUGGCGGUCCAGAUAAAAGAUACGCGUGAAAAUACAUCGGACGAUGACGUUGUUAUCCAUGAAUCCCGAUCUAGGCGAAAACCUAAGAAGGAAUAUUUGACAGUUUCAUCAGAAAGCUAUACCGAGGUCAUUACAGAAUGUUCGGGCUCUGAGUCAAGACGAAUAACUAGAAGAGCAGCGUUACCCCCACCCUCGGUUGAAUCAACGUUAGAGAAAAAGCGAACGAUGCGUAAAAAGAAAUUAUUUGUUCAAUCGGAUGACGCAUGUGCUGAUAUUGAUCGAUGUGAGAAUAUUCCACCGUCACCAGCACCGUCUUCCUCAACGCGUAACUUGAGGACACGAAGAAAAUGAGUCAUACAGCAGUGCAAAUUGAUUGAAUAAUCCAUACUUCAUACACUGCACGUUAAACUCGCCGCUAUGAUUUAGUGCCAUGAUUUUGGUAUCGCCUAAGACGGUAGCGUUGUGCAUCUCCCUACUCAUCUCUGGUAAUAUACUUAUGUUCUUUGCUCAUUGGGAAUAAUAGCUAUAAACGAAAGAAAGGAAGGUUAACAACGCA